rnacentral:lncRNA from 1 species
CCCAGCCACGGCCCUGAUCCGGAGCCUCUGUUACCUGGGGCAGCAGAAGGGAAUGAGAAGACAGCUGUAAAUCAUGUCCGGCCUGCUGAUGACAUUCUCCUCUCUUAGCUAAAGGACUGAGGAUGGCUUUUCUGUACCAGCCUGGGCCUGCUGAGCUGACCGUGUUUGAAGGGCCAGUCGUGGGCUAAGCUAGGCAAGCUGAGAUCAGUCCUGCAGGAACCUGAGGUCAUCACAGGAUGUGAAGACAGAGGUCAGGAGCUUGUGGGACCAGGAAUGCGCGAGGAGAUCGAAAUGACCUUGAUAGCUACAAGUGGAGAUGGGUCUUUGAGCUAUCAGAUGGAAGGCUGUCUCGCAGACCUAUGCUGGAUUUUACAUAAAUAAGAAAUGUAAGUGUAACUUUGUUGUGCUAAGUCACUGAGAUUUUUGGGUUUGUUUGUUAUUACAGCAUAGCUUAACACUGCUCUGACUAAUGCCAUAUACAAAGCUUAAACACGUGUGGGGGUUCAUUUCUUCAUCUGCCGGCACCCAAGAAGAAUUGCUUUCCUAAAAACUUAAAAUGUAUAUAAAUUAUAUGUACUUAUUAUGGAAAAUUAUGAAAUACAAAUAAACAAAAAAGAAAGUAAAAAUCAUCUAUAAUCCUCUUGGUCAGAGUUAUCUACUGCUAACAUUUUGGUGUCCAGACAUCAUGUUUUUUCUAUGUAUAUAGAAAUAUAAAUUUAUGUAUAUAUGCACAUAAACU